UACGGAGGGUGCAAGCGUUAAUCGGAAUUACUGGGCGUAAAGCGUGCGCAGGCGGUUUGUUAAGUCUGCUGUGAAAUCCCCGGGCUUAACCUGGGAACUGCGCUUGUGACUGCAAGACUCGAGUACGGCAGAGGGGGGUAGAAUUCCACGUGUAGCAGUGAAAUGCGUAGAGAUGUGGAGGAAUACCGAUGGCGAAGGCAGCCCCCUGGGUCGAUACUGACGCUCAUGCACGAAAGCGUGGGGAGCAAACAGG
rnacentral:rRNA from 1 species